rnacentral:lncRNA from 1 species
GGACAACAUCUUUAAUUAUUUUAAUGAUUAAAGCAUAAAUAAGCGACAUUCUUCUAUCAAUGAAGUAUAUCCUCGAAAAGAUGGAGAGAAUGCUAAAAGAAACAAUAGUAGGGUGAGUUUUUAUGGUUAUUACUUCUCCCACCAAAGCACAGGCCUGCUUCUCGGCUUCAAUGGACUAUUUUGGAAAAAAAAAAAAAAAAAAAAAAAAUCUCCUGCUUUAGUCUUGUAUGGACACACAUCUGAGAUUUUCUUGAAUUUUAUUAUAUAAUCAUGAUGACGCCUCUUGAUAUUAAGUGCCUUACAAACUCUUCAUUUAAAAAUUACACACGAAUUGAAGUAUUUAAGAAUGUUAUGCAAAACAUGAGCAAGAAAUUUGAAACUUUUAUCGCCCCUUCUCUAAAAAGAAAUGGUCAGCCAUUCAAUUUUUCAGACUUGAAACUCAUUUCACAUGAGUUUUUUCUUCAUCAUCUUGCAUAUUUUUGCAUUUGUAUGCUCCCAGAUUAUUAUACAUAUGUUUUCAUUCAUGUUUAGAAAAUCUUAAGCCGUUUGGAUGUCUCGAAGAUUAAAUAUUCAUUCCAUGAAUUAUAUUUAUUUAACAAUUAAUUGAUUUAUCUAAGUUUAAUUCAUGCAUGAUUCUUUACAUAGGAAAUGAAAAGUUGGGUUUAAGAAAUAUUUUCUAAUGUAGAGGUUUCUUCCCAUGAUUUUUUAUUUUUUUUAUUUAAAGAAAAUUCCUAAUUUUUGGCAGAGUUUUAGUUUAGUUCUCAAUUUAUUUGAUUGAGAUGAAGAAAGUUAGUGAAAUUCUGAAGGGGAAAUGAAAUGUUGGGAUUUAAGAAGGUUAGGUGUUUUGAUGAGAUUGAUGAAAAUUAUCGGAGUUUUGAGACAAUGGGUGGUGGAAAAGAGUGUUAUAUCCCUAUACCUUAAAAGACACUUACCAAUAGUUACUGUUCAUAGUUGAGUUCCACGUUUUCACACUUAACCUUUUGGAACUGGCUUGGCAAUUUCGAUGGGCCGGUAGUUACUGUUGAUGAGCCCAAAAGUUUUUUGUAUCAGUCAUUCAAUUUUUCAGACUUGAAACUCAUUCCACACGACUUUUUUCUUCAUCAUCUUGCAUAUUUUUGCAUCCAUGUGCUCCCAGAUUAUUAUACAUAUGUUUUCAUUCAUGUUUAGAAGAUCUUAAGCCGUUUGGAUCACUCGAAGAUUAAAUAUUCAUUUUAUGAAUUAUAUUUAUUUAACGAUUAAUUGAUUUAUCUAAGUUUAAUUCAUGCAUAAUUCUUUACGUAGGAAAUGAAAAGUUGGGUUUAGGAAAUAUUUUCUAAUGUAGAUGUUUCUUCCCAUGAUUUUUUUUAUUUAAAGAAAAUUCCUAAUUUUUGUUAGAGUUUUAGUUUAGUUCUCAAUUUAUUUGAUUGAGAUGAAAAAAGAAAGUGAAAUUAUGAAGGGGAAAUGAAAUGUUGGGAUUUAAGAAGGUUAGGUGUUUUGAUGGGAUUGAUGAAAAUUACCGGAGUUUUGAGACAAUGGGUGGUGAAAAAGAGAGUGUGAUAUUAAAAAUGGAGAAGUAGGUGUUGGAGCAAUGAAUCAAAAUGAUUUCUUUGUUGGGAAUGAGGUUUUUCAUAUUUUUGUAGUGGAUUCAUGUCUUCUUCAUGUGAAUGAUCAGAACAAAUGGAACUUUCAUUUAAUGAUGGGAAAGAGGAAAGUAGGUUGGAUUUUGAUAAUAAUGUGCCCAGUGUGCCGAACUUUGACAUGAAAGAUGGUGGAAUGGAAAGAAUCUAUCAAGGAUAUACACAACAACAACCUGUGAAUAUUGAGAGAAGAGUGGAUAUUAUUGACAUUACGUCAAUGAGAGGAUGAUGAUGUGGAAAUAAUAGCUUAUAAAAAAGAUGCUAUCGGAAAGGGUAAGCAAAUUGAGGUUGGGAUGUUAUGUGAUAGUACAGAAAAUUUGAACGUUGCUGUGGCAUACUCUUCUCAUUAUGUAGGAUUAGGUGUAUCUGUUCAAUAUGCGUGGUAGAUGCAUUUUGAAAGUACUUGAGGUUGUUUUGUAGUAUGAUUUUGGAGCAAAUGUAUACACAUUUUCUGUUUGUUAUAUAGAUGUUGAGACAACAUUAUUUUUUAUAGCCUAAUUAUGGUAAAUCGAAAUAAGCUAGAAUGCACUAUAUUACACCAUCUAGAAUCAUAAAAGUAAAGACUUAACCCCUUGUACCAUGUAAAUGUAACGCUUAAAAACAGUUCAAUUAGCAUGCUAUAGACCAAUUGAAUUUCGCACAUGAAUUCCAUGUAUGUGAAAUAUUUCCUACUUUCGUAUGAUAAUUAUUGAGGGGGGGGGGGUAUUGUCUGGUUAUUUUGAAGUAUGAGUGCUAACAGGUAAUGCCUUCUUUUUCGAGAGUGCAUAGACUAUAACUUGCAUGUGUGGUUAAAUCAAGUGAGGUCUGGCGCUGGUUGUGAUUAUUUAAUUUGCAUCCAAACUAAUGGUAGGAUGACAAAAAAAUACGCUCGAUAAAAUUAAAAGGGUUAGGUUGAAGAAAAUGAAAGCUAGGAGUUAGGGAUCAUUUCUGUUAAGUUUCUUUCUAUUUCCAAUCACUAGUCCUUAAUUUGUAUAUAGUGCCUUAACAUUAUUAUUUUAUACACACACACAAGAAAAAAAAGAGGAUUUAUCCAUAAUGACUCUUUUCAAUAUUCAUAUAAUUAAAAUUCAACAAAAAAGAGAAAAUACCGAAUUACAAUUGCUUUUGCUUGUAUGGAUAUAUCAUCAAAGUUACAUCGCUAAUUUUUGUGGCAGUGACUUUUUAUAACAAAAAAAUUGCCUUUGAAGGAUAAAUGGUAUUUAUUUCCUUUGUCUUUGAUGUUAACAAUCUGAAUUUUUACAUUAAAUUUAUACAAACUUAGUAAAAUAAUUUAGUGGAAAAUAUGUGUUAAGACAAAAAUUGAGUUUAAAAAGUUAAGAUAAAUACUAACUUUUACGUUCUUGUAAUGUAGGGCAAUUGUGUAAUCUUUUGGUAAAGGCACUUCCUUCUACGUGAUUCAGGUGCAAUUUCUUCAAAAAUAUUCAUUUGAUACUAAUUUUGUUGUUCUUUCAUAGUGAUUUGUAAAAGACAUUUGUAUAUUUUUCCUUUAAAACUUCCUGUUGAUUUCUCGACUAUUCUAUGUAUUUCGAUUUUUAAAUUUAUAUUGUGAAUGGGUUCACAUUCGUAAUUACAUUUUUAUUGUCUGCAUAAUAGCUUUAGAAAUCGAAUGUAUAUGUGAUUAUUUUGCUAUGUUUUUGCUUUUCUGGGAUUUCUUAUACUUUUGUUAGCUUUUUCCAACUAAUGAUUUUGUUUUUGGUUUUUUGCCCCCAAAAUAGCUACAUAUCCAUAUCUUAACGACAACCCGUAAUACAACACCAAAACUUCAUAAAAAUUUUACUUGUUAGCUAGCCAACGUACCUACGUCUUUUUUUUUUUUAUUUAUAUUUUGGCUUAUUAAUUUAAAUUAAAUUUUGACCUGUCACUUUAGGCUUCAUUCAAAAAAAUAUGUUGAAAUUCUUCAAAUUUUUUGUGGGUUUGUUUUAGAAGGUGUUAAUUUUGUAGAUCAAGAGGAAGGGAAAAAAAAACCCCCCUUAAACUUUAGUUCUUGCAAGAUAUUAGACUUCGUUUAUAAAGUUAGCCACUUUGUAGCUUGCGUCUUCCUUGGACUCUGCAUCUUAUUAAGUAGGCUUGGAAGUAUCUCAUUUGACUUUUCGACAACUAAUAUCAACGCAAGCCUAUUUAAACAAUUUGAUUCGAACCACUCUCUAGUGCUUUGUUGAUGAUUUCUAUAGCUCUUACUAUGAUUGCAUGUUUAAGGUUGUUGUAUUUUGCUUUCUUGUUAUGAUGCUCAAUAUUUUUCUGUAACACCUUGAAACUUUUGUCAAGUGGGCAAUAUUCUCUCGUUCUUGGAGUUAAAUUUAUAUUUUCUGGAAGUUCAGGAGAUGGAACAAUGUUAGUUUCAUUUUCAAUUUUUAGGGAAGUUUCAUUUGAGCUGAUUAAUUUGAUCACGGAAGUGCUAUUUAUGUUCAAGUUAUAGUAUUCUAAUAUCGUCCAUCCACAAAACUAACAACUUCUCCUACAUGGAAAAUGAUAUACAUGAAUUAUCUGUCGUAACUUGGUUCUUGGAGUUGUCCAAUGUUCAGUGGUGGUUAUUAUGGUUCUUUUUCUGUUUAUUAAACAUGCACAAAAAGAGUGAGGUAGUAGUUAUUAUUGAAAGUUGAUUUAGGGCCCGUUAGGCAUUGCUCUUGAAAAGUCAAAAUGAACUUUUGAAACUCAAAAGUCGCUUUUGGACUUAUUUGACUGAUUUUAUGAAUCCUUCGUCAGGGAAGAAUUUAUAAAUGAUUUAAUUUAUAAAUUGAUAGAAAUAAGUGAUAGAUAGGUAAAUAAUACAUGUGAAUCCUUUGAAAUGUGUUGUUGAAAAUGAAAUUUUAUUACUUAUAAAUCAUUUUAAGGCGAAUGGUGGCUAACCAACCAAUUUUCCAUUUAUGCAGAUCGAACUUGUAUAAUUGGGGCUCAUUUAUUAGAUUGUUUUGGUACCAUCUACUAUGCUCUUGUAGUGGGGAUUAAAAUUAAAUUUUUAGUAAAAUUUUUAUAGUAGUUGAUUAAAUGCAUGGUUAAAAAGUUGUGGGUUCUAUGAAAUAUAUAGUUAAAAUUAAUUGUUUACUUUGAUUUAUAUUGAAAAUUAGAUUUUAGUUCCUACCAAACAGGUUUUUAUAAAUCAUAUUGAGUGACUUUGAGUGAAAUUUUCCCACAAUUGUUUAUCAUAUUUUAGACAUCUGGAUCAUUUUUAGGCUGUAUAAAGCAAUCAGUGCUCCACUUUCUUAGCUAAAUGUAGAGCUUGUUCCACCUUUCUUAUUUGAUCUUCAGUUCUCAAAAUUCAUAUGGAAGCUAAUAGAUAGUGAACAUGUUCAUCUGUGCUGAAAAGUUACUUUAUUUUUCAGCAAGUAUUUGUUAGUAAAAGAUUCAUAUAAUCAAGUUUAACUUAUUUUUAAGUAUAAAUAUACUUAUAAUGGCAAAUCAAUUCCAAAUAAGAAACUUUUUCUAUCUUCUAAAGUUUUAAAAUUAUAUUAGUAUAUUAUUAAUUGUUUAGAUCUUAUGCAGGCAUUUUUAAGGGUUGCAAAAGAUCUUUAUGCUAUUGUGAUUGCACCCAGAGAGAGUCAAGAGAGCCGGUUUGGCCUAUACUCGUACUUCAUGUUUUAAUUAAUUCUAUCAUUACAUGUUUUACUUCAACUUUGAUGCUUGAAUUAAAGUGUUUCGAUGCUAUCUUCUUUCAUAAAUGAGUAAGAACGUGAAAUUAGUUUCACUUCCUACGUUAAUUUGCAUCAUCUUUAUGAUGCACUGGGGCUCAAGCUCCACAGUGUUGGUUAAACUUAGUUAAGCGUUUUUAAGUAUAAAACACAAAGGAAAAUUAUAUAGGAUUAUCAAAAAUAAAUGACUAAUGCCAUUAAUAACAAUAAACUAAUUUUUUAAAAACGAAGUCACGUAUUCAAUAACUUUUGACAUAAAAGAAAAAGUACUUCGAUCAUAAUUACUUAAAUCCAUUAGCCAAAAAAAUAAAUGAAUAAAUAAAUAAAUAUCCCAUCAAUUAGUUUUCACACUUGAUCUGAUUUGGGAUCAUUCCAACACAAGCCAACAAUAGAGCUUCCAGACUAACUUUUGAUGCUUGCAGCGUCAUUCCUUCCUUCCACUUAUCAAUUAUUUCCUUUAGAGUCACAUCGACAAUCAAAUUUGAAAUCGUUAUAUUCAAUCCUCUUUUUGGACGGACAUUUUCCUUAUUAUUCUCAAACUUAACCAAUCAUUCAAGACUUGCUAUCCUUUUUAUAUGUCAUCCCACUUUUUAUUGUUACUCAUUCGCAAUCUUUUACAUCAACAAACAACGGAAUUUAUCAUAUAAGAGCUCCAUGUAUUCAGCAGUCUGUGGCAAACUAAUAAAGGGACCAGUAUUCCAACUUUCGUAGUCAUUUUUGCCUCCACUCUUUCUGCUUUCUAAAUUACCCGAUAAUUGUAGAUUCACUAAAAAAAUUUCAUCAUUAGUGGAAUACAAAUCUAUAUUCAUUUGUUCAUAAUUAAACAUGUCUUACUUGUUGUUAUGUAAACAAGUUAAUCUAUUAUAAAGCACAUUAUUUCUAUACAUAUCGUAUAAUAAAUGUUUCAACAUCUUUUCUCUCUUAAACCUUAUGAUUAUUUUUAGUUCCGGUUGCUAGCUUCUUCUUCGAAGUAUUAAAUCAUUUAUUGUUCUGAUGGAUCCUUCGACAAUGUCUAUUGAUUGAGAAUCUGCUGUUCUUAAAUAUGAUACCAUUCUUCCAAGCAGAAGUGAGGCAUACAAUGCAUUCAUUCACCAACAACGAAAUCAAAGACAAAGGGAUUGGAGAAAUCGAGUCAAAGCUGGACGAAUUGAUUCUCGAGAAAGGGUAACUGACACAGUAUUAUCCGAAAAUACUAAUUUCAGUUCUGCCCAUGUGAAUGAAGCAGUAAUAUGUCAUGAUUUCGAGGCUUCUACUUCGAACCAAGAAGCGACUGAUGUUUCUAAAUGUGUAAAACUUAUGAACAUACCAAAUACUGCAUAUGUAUUACUGACAUGUACCUAUUGUAAAUAUUGUGGUGCAUGAAAAUUUCAUAGAGAAAGUAAAAGUUUUUGUUGCUCAAAUGGAAAAGUUAAACUUUGUAUGCUUGAUUCACCCGCUG